rnacentral:rRNA from 1 species
GCUUGCUUGUUGGGGUUGUAGGACACUCUAUACGGAGUUACAAAGGACGACAUUAGACGAAUCAUCUGGAAAGAUGAAUCAAAGAAGGUAAUAAUCCUGUAGUCGAAAAUGUUGUCUCUCUUGAGUGGAUCCUGAGUACGACGGAGCACGUGAAAUUCCGUCGGAAUCUGGGAGGACCAUCUCCUAAGGCUAAAUACUCUCUAGUGACCGAUAGUGAACCAGUACCGUGAGGGAAAGGUGAAAAGCACCCCGGAAGGGGAGUGAAAUAGAACCUGAAACCGUGUGCUUACAAGUAGUCAGAGCCCGUUAAUGGGUGAUGGCGUGCCUUUUGUAGAAUGAACCGGCGAGUUACGAUUUGAUGCAAGGUUAAGCAGUAAAUGUGGAGCCGUAGCGAAAGCGAGUCUGAAUAGGGCGUUUAGUAUUUGGUCGUAGACCCGAAACCAGGUGAUCUACCCUUGGUCAGGUUGAAGUUCAGGUAACACUGAAUGGAGGACCGAACCGACUUACGUUGAAAAGUGAGCGGAUGAACUGAGGGUAGCGGAGAAAUUCCAAUCGAACCUGGAGAUAGCUGGUUCUCUCCGAAAUAGCUUUAGGGCUAGCCUCAAGUGAUGAUUAUUGGAGGUAGAGCACUGUUUGGACGAGGGGCCCCUCUCGGGUUACCGAAUUCAGACAAACUCCGAAUGCCAAUUAAUUUAACUUGGGAGUCAGAACAUGGGUGAUAAGGUCCGUGUUCGAAAGGGAAACAGCCCAGACCACCAGCUAAGGUCCCAAAAUAUAUGUUAAGUGGAAAAGGAUGUGGCGUUGCCCAGACAACUAGGAUGUUGGCUUAGAAGCAGCCAUCAUUUAAAGAGUGCGUAAUAGCUCACUAGUCGAGUGACACUGCGCCGAAAAUGUACCGGGGCUAAACAUAUUACCGAAGCUGUGGAUUGUCCUUUGGACAAUGGUAGGAGAGCGUUCUAAGGGCGUUGAAGCAUGAUCGUAAGGACAUGUGGAGCGCUUAGAAGUGAGAAUGCCGGUGUGAGUAGCGAAAGACGG